CAGUAGCCACGGGAAUACGAAGGGUGCAAGCGUUAAUCGGAAUUACUGGGCGUAAAGCGUGCGUAGGCGGUUUGUUAAGUCUGUUGUGAAAUCCCCGGGCUCAACCUGGGAAUGGCAAUGGAUACUGGCAAGCUAGAGUGUGUCAGAGGAUGGUGGAAUUCCCGGUGUAGCGGUGAAAUGCGUAGAGAUCGGGAGGAACAUCAGUGGCGAAGGUGGCCAUCUGGGACAACACUGACGCUGAGGCACGAAAGCGUGGGGAGCAAACAGGAUUAGAUACCCCAGUAGUCCCUGUCUCUUAUAC
rnacentral:rRNA from 1 species